rnacentral:rRNA from 1 species
UGGGGAAUUUUGGACAAUGGGGGAAACCCUGAUCCAGCCAUCCCGCGUGUGCGAUGAAGGCCUUCGGGUUGUAAAGCACUUUUGGCAGGAAAGAAACGUCGUGGGUUAAUACCCCGCGAAACUGACGGUACCUGCAGAAUAAGCACCGGCUAACUACGUGCCAGCAGCCGCGGUAAUACGUAGGGUGCAAGCGUUAAUCGGAAUUACUGGGCGUAAAGCGUGCGCAGGCGGUUCGGAAAGAAAGAUGUGAAAUCCCAGAGCUUAACUUUGGAACUGCAUUUUUAACUACCGGGCUAGAGUGUGUCAGAGGGAGGUGGAAUUCCGCGUGUAGCAGUGAAAUGCGUAGAUAUGCGGAGGAACACCGAUGGCGAAGGCAGCCUCCUGGGAUAACACUGACGCUCAUGCACGAAAGCGUGGGGAGCAAACAGGAUUAGAUACCCUGGUAGUCCACGCCCUAAACGAUGUCAACUAGCUGUUGGGGUCUUCGGACCUUGGUAGCGCAGCUAACGCGUGAAGUUGACCGCCUGGGGAGUACGGUCGCAAGAUUAAAACUCAAAGG